rnacentral:rRNA from 1 species
UACGUAGGCAGCAAGCGUUGUUCGGAGUUACUGGGCGUAAAGGGUGUGUAGGCGGUUCUUUAAGUUUGGUGUGAAAUCUCCCGGCUCAACCGGGAGGGUGCGCCGAAUACUGAGGGACUCGAGUGCGGGAGAGGAAAGUGGAAUUCCUGGUGUAGCGGUGAAAUGCGUAGAUAUCAGGAGGAACACCGGUGGUGUAGACGGCUUUCUGGACCGUAACUGACGACGUGAGAACACGAAAGCGUGGGGUAGCAAACAG